ensembl:lncRNA
CGGGAGGCGGGAGGCGGGGGACCGAGCAGGGCCGCGGGGCCCUGGCAGUGGCGGCGGCGGCGUCGGCGGCGGCUCGGUGCAGCUCGGCGGUGACAGCGCCUCCGCCCCGCCUCCCCUCCCCGCCCCCCCGCGCGCGAGCUGCCGGCGGGACCCGCGCUGCUGACGGUCGGUACCAACCUAGCCAGCAGAGGCGGGGGCGCGAGGAGGCCGCGCGGAGGACCCCCCCGAGAUUGGUAUCACCUACCCCAUCCCAGCCUGUGAGCGCGCGCCCUCCCGGGCUGAGGCAGUCGGCUCCCGGCGCUGGACCCGGGGCUGCGGGCGGGGCCGGACGCGCCCGGCUCGGCGCCCCCGAGUCAAAGCCCCGGCCCCUACUCGCACCCCGAACCGCCCCGCCUCCAUCCUGGCUGCUCCUGGCGCCCAGCUUGGCAGCCUCUCUCAAAGGCAGGGACAAGCUCCUGAGUGGGAUCUCAGGGCCAUGGCAGUGAGGAGGCCUGUGCUCCACCAGCUCUGAAGAUACCAGCUACGUGAUGGGCUGAGGUCUUUAAUCAGUCUUGUCUCUAAGUCGAGAACAGGGUUGCACUAAGUGGCCCCUUGGGAUCCUAAGAGGCUGCGGCCUUGGGGUGCAGUUUGCAGGUGUCUGCAUUGCCCUCUAGCUCAUGGAAGCUUGAGCAGCUGGAGCGGGAAGGGCAGCAAGCUUCAUCUCACUAAUCAUGGAAUCCACAGCCAUGAUUUUGCUGAUGAGGGCAGAAAGGCCCAAGGAGGAGUCCACCAUCAUGCAGUGCACGUGCUCACCCACCAUUGCCCAGGCAGGGACACAAGAAACUCACAGUGAGAGCACCAGGCACCACCAAGAAGCCCUAGGAACACUGACCCUGUCUCUACAGUGGGCUGUGUGUUCCCUGGGGGCUGACUGCUGGUGGAUGCCAGAGAGAUACACAAGACACUCAUGGAUAUGGAAGGUGACAAACUGGGUCAAACCAGCUCACGGGCAAGAGAGCACCCAGAGGAGGCUGAGGGAAGGUGUCUUCAAGAAGGUUGCCCUGGAGCAGAGGCCCGCAGAAGGGCCAGUGGUGUAUGGUGUUGGGAGAACAGAACCCAGACCAGCAGACAGCAUUGGCACAGCAAGGCUGGUGUGCGGCGAGAAGGAUGUUCUCUUCACAGUGCAGGACUCGUGUGCAGGACUGGGCUCAUGCACUGGUGUCUUCUAGGGAGAAGCUGUUCAAUAAAUAUGAUGGAUGUAGUUGUUUAAUUUCCUGCCUAACUCCCAUCCACAGCUGGGGUGAUGGGCAAACAUGGACUCCUCACACUGUCUUUCUGCAUUUGGAAGACAUAACCAGGGAGUUUGAAGACUUCCCUCACAGGUGCUUUGGUUUCAUUCUUCCAUUUCUUCAUUCAGUCAUCCCAAUUUCACUGAGCUUACUUUGGCUGAAAAUGCAGAAAUGAAAGACUAGCUCUUGCUUCCAGUCCAUGGCCCUCUCAAGAUGAGGCAUCUGUGUCUCAGUUUCAUUGUCUGCCUUUCCCCAUGAGCCUUCCCCUGGACUCUUCUGAGGGAAGGGAGACACAGGCAGAGGACAGGUUGUUGGGAAGUUUGUGGGGACCUGGGCUGGGGCUACUGCAGGUGCAAAACCUGGGAGAGAAGGAAGAGCAAGCAAUGCAAAGCUGCCUCCAAGUAUGUUUUUAUCACCUAAAAAUAGUCGGGGCUGUAAUGACUUUUGGGGGGAUGGGAGAGGAGGGAGAGAAGGCUAUAAGAGGUGCAGAGAAAUCUUAGAUAGCUGGGGUGAUAAGGCAUAUUCUGAAAGAUAUAUUUAGCAAUAUAAAGUUUCAGAAAAGACAGCAUAUUAAAAUCAGGCCUCUCUCCUCCCUCUCAAGCUUCCUCUGGCCUAGGACUAUUCUAAAUUUCUCUCUCUCUUUUAUUUUCUGGAGCUCAGAGUGUUACUGACACUGGGGAGAGGAACACGCAUCCAGUGUAUCUGGACAUUCUUUCCUCAGCCUGACAGCAUGUCGCUGAACCAUAUGUUAAGGCAGACAGGGAGAGAGCAUCACAUUGCAUACUCCCUGAUGGAUCACUGAUGGUGGGAGCCUGAUGGGGCUAAAGAGCAUGGCCCUAUUGGCUUUAUGAGACAAACUCAUCUGUAGGAUUUCCGGGAAGGGAGAAAGUAGAAAUAUGGACUCAUGAGCAGAG